GACGAACGCUGGCAGCGUGCCUAAUACAUGCAAGUCGAGCGGACAGAAGGGAGCUUGCUCCCGGAAGUUAGCGGCGGACGGGUGAGUAACACGUGGGCAACCUACCCUGUAGAUCGGGAUAACAUCGAGAAAUCGGUGCUAAUACCGGAUAAUCAUUUGAAGUGCAUGCUCCGAAUGUAAAAGAUGGCUCCGGCUAUCACUACGGGAUGGGCCCGCGGCGCAUUAGCUAGUUGGUAAGGUAAUGGCUUACCAAGGCAACGAUGCGUAGCCGACCUGAGAGGGUGAUCGGCCACACUGGGCCUGAGACACGGCCCAGACUCCUACGGGAGGCAGCAGUAGGGAAUCUUCCGCAAUGGACGAAAGUCUGACGGAGCAACGCCGCGUGAGUGAUGAAGGUUUUCGGAUCGUAAAGCUCUGUUGUUAGGGAAGAACAAGUGCCGUUUGAAUAAGGCGGCACCUUGACGGUACCUAACCAGAAAGCCACGGCUAACUACGUGCCAGCCGCCGCCGUAACAC
rnacentral:rRNA from 1 species